rfam:Dipodomys ordii ctg_broad_rename0002515, whole genome shotgun sequence.
AAACACAAAGGUUUGGUCCUAGCCUUAAUAUUAGCUGUCAGUAGAUUUACACAUGCAAAUAUCCGUAAGCCAGUGAGUUCAGCCCUAUGUUCUCUAAAGACUACAAGGAGCAAGUAUAAAGCACGCGUGAUAAUUACACGCAGCUAAAAACACUAAGUUUAACCACACCCCCACGGGAUACAGCAGUGAUAAAAUUUAAGCAAUGAACGAAAGUUUGACUAAGUCAUACUGACAAAAACAGGGUUGGUAAAUUUCGUGCCAGCCACCGCGGUCAUACGAAAGACCCAAGUUAAUAUUCUACCGGCGUAAAGAGUGCUUAAAUAUUUAUCAAAUAGAGCUAAGACUAGUCUUCGCUGUAAAAAGCCAAAGCCAAAGUAAAAAUCAAUAACGAAAGUAACUCUAAUUUUUGUAGCACUAAAGCUAUUACCUAAACUGGGAUUAGAUACCCCACUAUAAUUAGCCAUAAACAUAAGUAGUUCAUAACAUUACUACUCGCCAGAGAACUACAAGCCACCGCUUAAAACUCAAAGGACUUGGCGGUGCUUUAUAUCCACCUAGAGGAGCCUGUUCCAUAACCGAUGAUCCCCGAUUUACCUCACCACUCCUUGCUAAUUCAGCCUAUAUACCGCCAUCUUCAGUUAACCCUAAAAAGGAAAUAAAGUAAGCCUAAUCAGUAUUACUAAAGAAGUUAGGUCAAGGUGUAGCCCAUGGAGUGGAGCGAAAUGGGCUACAUUUUCUAUUACUAGAACAUUACGAAACUCUACGUGAAAUCCGUAGAAUAAAGGAGGAUUUAGUAGUAAAUUAAAACUAGAGUGUUUAAUUGAAUAGAGCAAUGAAGCACGCACACACCGCCCGUCACCCUCCUCAAUUUCUCAACAAUUAAAAGUACAUAACACCUAAUUACAAAAGAUUGAGAGGAGACAAGUCGUAACAAGGUAAGUGUACUGGAAAGUGCACUUGGAAAAAUCAAAAU